rnacentral:rRNA from 1 species
GACGAACGCUGGCGGCGUGCUUAACACAUGCAAGUCGAACGGAAAGGCCCUUCGGGGUACUCGAGUGGCGAACGGGUGAGUAACACGUGGGUGAUCUGCCCUGCACUUUGGGAUAAGCCUGGGAAACUGGGUCUAAUACCGAAUACACCCUUCUGGCUGCAUGGUCUGGUUGGGGAAAGCUUUUGCGGUGUGGGAUGGGCCCGCGGCCUAUCAGCUUGUUGGUGAGGUUACGGCUCACCAAGGCGACGACGGGUAGCCGGCCUGAGAGGGUGACCGGCCACACUGGGACUGAGAUACGGCCCAGACUCCUACGGGAGGCAGCAGUGGGGAAUAUUGCACAAUGGGCGCAAGCCUGAUGCAGCGACGCCGCGUGAGGGAUGACGGCCUUCGGGUUGUAAACCUCUUUCGCCAGGGACGAAGCGCAAGUGACGGUACCUGGAGAAGAAGGACCGGCCAACUACGUGCCAGCCGCCGCGGUAAUAC